GAGGGACCACCCUCCAAGGCUAAAUACUACCUAGUGACCGAUAGCGUAUAGUACCGUGAGGGAAAGGUGAAAAGAACCCCGGGAGGGGAGUGAAAUAGAACCUGAAACCCUGCACUUACAAGCUGUGGAAGCACAUUUCUUGUGUGACCGCGUACUUUUUGUAGAACGGGCCAACGAGUUACGUUAAGUAGCAAGGUUAAGCACUUAAGGUGUGGAGCCGUAGCGAAAGCGAGUUUUAACUGAGCGUUCAGUUACUUGACGUAGACCCGAAACCGGGCGACCUACCCAUGAGCAGGAUGAAGCGAAAGUAAAAUUUCGUGGAGGUCCGAACCCACGAGCGUUGAAAAGCUCGGGGAUGACUUGUGGGUAGCGGUGAAAUUCCAAUCGAGCCCGGAGAUAGCUGGUUCUCCCCGAAAUAGCUUUAGGGCUAGCCUCAAGGUGAGAGAUACGGAGGUAGAGCACUGAAUGUCCUAGGGGGUAUUGCACCUACCGAAGACUAUCAAACUCCGAAUGCCGUCAUCUUAUACUUGGGAGUCAGACUGUGGGUGAUAAGAUUCAUAGUCGAAAGGGCAACAGCCCAGAUCGUCAGCUAAGGUCCCUAAAUGUAAGUUAAGUGGUAAAGGAUGUGGGAUUGCACAGACAACCAGGAUGUUGGCUUAGAAGCAGCCACUCAUUCAAAGAGUGCGUAAUAGCUCACUGGUCGAGUGAUCCUGCGCCGAAGAUUUCCGGGGCUAAAACUUACUACCGAAGCUACGGCAUCAGUAAUGAUGGGUAGGGGAGCUUCCCAUACGGGUUGAAGCAUGACCGUAAGGACAUGUGGACAGUAUGGGAGUGAGAAUGUUGGCAUGAGUAGCGAGAUGUGGGUGAGAAUCCCACAGGCCGUAAACCCAAGGUUUCCAGGGGAAGGUUCGUCCGCCCUGGGUUAGUCGGGACCUAAGCUGAGGCCGAAAGGCGUAGGUGAUGGACAACAGGUUGAUAUUCCUGUACUACCGAUAACCGUUUGAGAGAAGGGAUGACACAGUAGGAUAAGCUAAGCACACUGUUGGUUAUGUGUGCCCAAGCAUUGAGGCAGUCAAAGUAGGCAAAUCCGCUUUGAUAAUGCUGGGAUGUGAUGGGGAGCGAAAUUUAGUAGCGAAGUAGCUGAUUUCACACUGUCAAGAAAAGUCUCUAUCGAGGUUAAAGGUACCCGUACCGCAAACCGACACAGGUGGGUGAGGAGAGUAUCCUAAGGCCAGCGAGAGAACUGUUGUUAAGGAACUCGGCAAAAUGACCCCGUAACUUAGGGAUAAGGGGUGCCACCAUCAGGUGGCCGCAGAGAAUAGGCCCAAGCGACUGUUUACCAAAAACAUAGGUUUCUGCUAAGUCGCAAGACGAUGUAUAGGAGCUGACGCCUGCCCGGUGCUGGAAGGUUAAGGGGAUCUGUUAGAGCAAUCGAAGCAGUGAACUUAAGCCCCAGUAAACGGCGGCCGUAACUAUAACGGUCCUAAGGUAGCGAAAUUCCUUGUCGGGUAAGUUCCGACCCGCACGAAAGGCGUAACGAUUUGGGCACUGUCUCAACAACAGACUCGGUGAAAUUGUAAUUCCGGUGAAGAUGCCGGAUACCUGCGACAGGACGGAAAGACCCCAUGGAGCUUUACUGUAGCUUGACAUUGGGUCUUGGUACUACAUGUACAGGAUAGGUGGGAGGCUUUGAAACCAGGACGCCAGUUUUGGCGGAGCCAUCCUUGGGAUACCACCCUUGUAGUACUGGGACUCUAACCAUAGGCCAUGAAUCUGGUCUUGGGACACUGUCA
rnacentral:rRNA from 1 species